CAGCGCCAUCCGACAUGAGAUCUGUGAUACCUCCAUCCUGUAAUGGACCUCUGCUUUAAUGCAGCCCCAUCAUCCGCGAGGAGAAGCAUUGGCAAAUUGGUAAUGGCAUCAUUGGUACCCAUCUAACCAGCACUCCAGAUAUCGGUGAGCUGAGAUGUCCAUACAGAGCCCUAAGGCGUGAUGACUCUGCACCUCCCACAUCAGUUUUUCGCCCAAGAGGAGGUUAUCUGCCCUGGACUGUCCUCUCUUUCACCAAAUGGUCGGCGUGUCUUGCAAUAUAGAGCACACCACUCUUGAAGGG